AGUGAACGCUGGCGGUAGGCCUAACACAUGCAAGUCGAACGGCAGCACAGUAAGAGCUUGCUCUUACGGGUGGCGAGUGGCGGACGGGUGAGGAAUACAUCGGAAUCUACUUUUUCGUGGGGGAUAACGUAGGGAAACUUACGCUAAUACCUCAUACGACCUACGGGUGAAAGCAGGGGAUCUUCGGACCUUGCGCGAUUGAAUGAGCCGAUGUCGGAUUAGCUAGUGGGCGGGGUAAAGGCCCACCAAGGCGACGAUCCGUAGCUGGUCUGAGAGGAUGAGCAGCCACACUGGAACUGAGACACGGUCCAGACUCCUACGGGAGGCAGUAGUGGGGAAUAUUGGACAAUGGGCGAAAGCCUGAUCCAGCCAUACCGCGUGGGUGAAGAAGGCCUUCGGGUUGUAAAGCCCUUUUGUUGGGAAAGAAAAGCAGCAGGUUAAUACCCCGCUGUUCUGACGUUACCCAAAGAAUAAGCACCGGCUAACUUCGUG
rnacentral:rRNA from 1 species